GCAUGAUUCUAGCAACAAGUAGACAAUGACUAACCCGAACUGUCGGGCUACAAAUGCACUUCCCACCUCAUUCGUUCCCCUAGGGUUUACCCUGUCAUCCACCUGCAGCGUCGGGUCUGUAGCCUGGCUGUUAAAAUUAGUCCACGGUCUGUGUUGGUAUUCCUGUGGCAGCUCACGGCUUAUUGUCGGAUUUGUUGAUUGUGUGAAAAGUAGGUUCGAAAUGACUGUUUAUGUUAACGCUGCAAGUUCGUGGGACUAGGGAUGUUGACCUUUGGUGAGUGUUUGUUGUGCUAAGGCUAACUAUUGGAUUGAGUUGUCAAAUUGGUGAUUAGCUUGAUCACUUUUUGGGUGCAGUUUGAGGGUAAUAUUUAUAUCUCCUUAGCAAUGAAUUUGAGAAGAAAUUGCUUUAUUUAACUCACUUGGAGGAACAUAUUAUAAUGUUAUAAUGUUAUAAUCCCCAAACAGAAGGCAGACAUAUACUGCAUAAAUGCUUUCUGGUGUUAGAACCUUGAGUGAUUGUUAAUUUUCCUAGGGCGCUUGCCGCGCUGACAGAAAAUUCAUACCAAUCAUUAUCUGACAAAGAUGAAAGUAGAUUUCUGGUUUUAUUCUUGUUCAUUCGUGCUUUUCCUUUUUGAUACUUGCCUUGCACACAAUGUAUGCCAUUCAUGUUUAGUAGCUUUGCUUGUAUUUCUGAGGUUAUACCAACUUAACAUUGAACCUUUUCUCUUUCUCUUUUCGGCAAUACAGGCUUUCCAUAAGGUGGUCCGCAGCUGGGCCUCAAAGAAAUUCAUGACUGGAUGGCCACAGAACACUAAAUAAGUUGGCAAUGGAUACCCUGUGGUCUACCAUUAUAAUUAUGUGUGCAUUUUGGAUCUAUUGGAUGUCUGAGUGUAAUGCUAAUCGACAUUUACUGAUGCAAAGAUUUUGCAGGGAUGUAGAUAUAUAUGGUGAUCACUACGACCUAAGUGUUUCAGUUCGUAUUUAGCAGGAUCACAUGUUGACCAAUGACUCUUUGUUUUCUCACUGAUCCAGUAUACUCAAGAACUUGAAUAUUGUGUUUGCUGUGAGUUAUUGACACUUCCUUGAUUUUUGCAACUCAGGAGUGAAGAUGGCCUUCCUUUGGUAGGCGUAGUGAAUGAAUUUUCUUCUAAUUCAGGCCAUGGUUGAUACCGCUUGGUGGCUGGAUCUGCCAUGGAGUGGCUACCAUGGGCCAACAAGAGCUCAACAAGAGGGCCAAAUUGUUGUUCUUUCCCAGAUCAUCUAAAUCAGAUGGAUGGGCUCCAAACUCCCAGUGCCAUUUGUCACUUUUGUGUUUGAAUUUUUACUCGAGUGCCUUUGGACAUAUGGUACUACGGAGAGGUGACAUUAGCACAAUUGAUGGUUGCUUCUCCUCUCCUGUCGACUAAAUCUUCUUCCUCUAUAUGUCAAUAUAUCAACAAAACAAGAGAUCUCUAAUAUCAUUGUUUUAUGGAGUUAACAGAUUGUUGAAGAUUUUUGCUGCCAUGGAAUUGUGAGUUUGUGACUAUACAUUCUUGUCCUAUAUGUGAAUUGAAGAUAUAUUGUCUCUUUGUGAAUGCAAAUAUCCAGGUAUGUACGCAAGUCCCAACUUUUAUUUACAUAUUUAUUUAUGAAAUGCAUGCAAGCAAGUCACAUCUUACAGACCAUUGCUCACUUAUAGGUAAAUCUAAUGAGUCAUAAAUUAAUCGGUUGGAGAUCGGUAGAAAGUCUAUUGAUAACUGGAGUUUAGAGCUCAAAAUCCUUCUAACUUUUCUACUAAUUGUAUUUUUUUGACAGCUUUCAGAGAGAACAAGUACUGUUGGUCAUUCUCUGACAUGUAUAAUACAAUUUUGAAGAUGUGAAUGGAUGUAUUCAUUUAGUAGCGUAUUAAUAGAUGAUGAAUUCUUUUCUUCGUAGUCAACUGGUGUAUAUCCUGAUAUGUUUAGUCUAUUCCUAAAUUAA